UUCUGAUUUUGGUAAGAUUACGAGGUGUCGCUCUGAGUUCACCGAAUGACGGACUACCUUAACCUUUUCAAGAGUGCAUUGUUUUUACGGGCUGUCUACCGUGCGUUACUAAUUUUAGAAUUCAGAUCUUAUCUAAAAACGUUAAAAAAUUGCAGCCUUUUACAAAAUGAACCUUUCGCUAGGAAAAUUAUAUUUGUUACACAGAUAUCUAUACCGUUUUCCCGAGCAAAUCUCGAACAGGUCGAUUUGGGAGAUUUUGUUUGCUGAUACAUCUGAACUGAAAAAGCACGCUGUACAGUGGCUAACUGAUUUAUCAUCUUCUCGUUGUGCAACAGAAAUUCUUAUAAAAAAAACAAAACAACAACAACAUAAUCCGCUGUAUGUUCUAGUUUUCGGUCAAUUUUCAUGUCAAUUGAAACAGAAACAAGAAAGUUAUUAACAUAUCUGUGAACGAACUUUUCUUCUGUUCAGCUGGCACAAGCUCGUUAAUAUGAUGGUUAUUCUGUCAGAUUGUCCAAAGGGCAGACUUGGCGCGAACUGCUCAAAACGUUGUGGUAAGUGCUUGUGUGGGUGCCACCCCGAAACAGGAAUCUGUAAUGUACCCUGCGAGGCGCCGGACGGCACAGAGGAAUGGUGGACAUCACCACCACUGGACACAGGAAAUUACACCACAAGGCGGCGCCAACAAGCCUCGUCAAAACGAAAAAGACGUGCCUCUACUAAAUACACUGAUAGGUCAGGAAGAACCCAUGAACAGAUAACAUGUACGAAGCUGGAAAACCGGUUCAAAUCAGUACGAGAUCAAU